rnacentral:rRNA from 1 species
AUUGAACGCUGGCGGCAUGCCUUACACAUGCAAGUCGAACGGCAGCACGGGAGCAAUCCUGGUGGCGAGUGGCGAACGGGUGAGUAAUAUAUCGGAACGUGCCCAGUAGUGGGGGAUAACUGCUCGAAAGAGCAGCUAAUACCGCAUACGACCUGAGGGUGAAAGGGGGGGAUCGCAAGACCUCUCGCUAUUGGAGCGGGCGAAAUCGGAUUAGCUAGUUGGUGGGGUAAAGGCCUACCAAGGCAACGAUCUGUAGUUGGUCUGAGAGGACGACCAGCCACACUGGGACUGAGACACGGCCCAGACUCCUACGGGAGGCAGCAGUGGGGAAUUUUGGACAAUGGGCGCAAGCCUGAUCCAGCAAUGCCGCGUGCAGGAAGAAGGCCUUCGGGUUGUAAACUGCUUUUGUCAGGGAAGAAAUCCUCUAGGUUAAUACCCUUGGGGGGAUGACGGUACCUGAAGAAUAAGCACCGGCUAACUACGUGCCAGCCGCCGCCGUAACAC